UACAAGACUCCAUGAUGCAGCCUAUGUAGGG
rnacentral:piRNA from 1 species